AGGCUGGGAAGUGGGUGAGACCUCAGAAGAGCAAGCAGGAACCCCAGUUAUAUGGUUCGCUUCCUGUCAUGCGACAGCAGCUCUGGGAAAGUAAGGAGACAAGCUGGAAGACCCCUGAGGGACUAAGGGCAACCGAAGAAGAGGAAGACAAUGUGAGGCGUUCCUCACAACCCAAGUUCACUGUGUGUAACUGUCCUCUUAACCAUGGAUUCCAGUCUGCUCUGCUCCCUGCCUGGAUCAUCCAGCACAGGCUACACAGCAGGUAUGUGACCAUUUGCAGCCAAAUGACUCAUAUAAAUGAGACAGUAGUGUGUGCAGAGGGCGGCUCUGUGGGGAGGCACUGGGAGGGGCUGGAGCCCAGUGGGCCUGUGGAGAUAGAUAGAAGACAAGCUUCAAGCCAGAGCACGAAGGGACAAGGGGAGCCUCCCUACUCAUCUCAAUGAAUCAAGUCUCUCCUAUGCACUGGGCUCUGCAGGCCUUGAACAACCUGAGGGGAGAAAAGCCCAUGACUGGUCCUCAUUCUCCAUCUGUGUAUCCCAGCUGGGAGAGACGAAGGUGCCACACCCAUGCAAAGUCCAAGAAGGCACAGGGCUUGGCACACAGUAGGGCUUGGCACACAGUAGGGGUGGGGAAGAUCAAAGCUGUCACGUGUUAAGAUGAGACAUGAGAAGCACCAGAGGCUCCCUUUCCCAUCACUCUCGAGGUCAGUCUGAGGCAUGUUUAUCUGGGCUCUCACCCCAGAGCCACAUCCCAUCUGGCCAGGCCAGGACUUCAUUUCUUUGGGCUUCAGGCCUGGACAAAAUGCAGAAGAAGCAGCCAGAGUCCCCAGCAGCAUCCCAAGGACUGGUCCCAGAGCCCGAGGCAGCCCAGGAGCUCAGGCUCAGGUAGCAGCUGGCAGAAACGGACAGCGGUGAGCACUUCCCCGCGGGCAGACACAGGACACUGGCUCGUGCAGCUGACACAAAGAGGCGGCUACAUCUCCUGGCCAUGCUUCCCUCUCAGCCCCACUCACAGAGACAGGGGGAUGGACAAGAUGG